CCUACGGGAGGCAGCAGUGGGGAAUAUUGCACAAUGGGGGAAACCCUGAUGCAGCGACGCCGCGUGAGUGAAGAAGUAUUUCGGUAUGUACAGCUCUAUCAGCAGGGAAGAAAAUGACGGUACCUGACUAAGAAGCCCCGGCUAACUACGUGCCAGCAGCCGCGGUAAUACGUAGGGGGCAAGCGUUAUCCGGAUUUACUGGGGGGAAAGGGAGCGUAGACGGCGCGGCAAGUCUGAAGUGAAAGGCAGGGGCUGAACCCCUGGACUGCAUUGGAAAAUGCCGUGCUGGAGUGCUGGAGAGGUAAGUGGAAUUCCUAGGGUAGCGGUGAAAUGCGUAGAUAUUAGGAGGAACACCAGUGGCGAAGGCGGCUUACUGGACAGUAACUGACGUUGAGGCUCGAAAGCGUGGGGAGCAAACAGGAUUAGAUACCCCUGUAGUC
rnacentral:rRNA from 1 species